ACCAGCGGAGGGAUCAUUGCUGGAACAAACGCCCUCACGGGUGCUACCCAGAAACCCUUUUGUGAACUUAUACCAUAAACAUGUUGCCUCGGCAGUGGCUGGGCUCUCUCGGGAGCCCCCAGUACUCCUCGUAGUGCUGGAGCAGGCCGGCCGGUGGCCCUAUAAACUCUUGUUUGUACAGUGUCUCUUCUGAGUAAAACAACUAUAAAUGAAUCAAAACUUUCAACAACGGAUCUCUUGGUUCUGGCAUCGAUGAAGAACGCAGCGAAAUGCGAUAAGUAAUGUGAAUUGCAGAAUUCAGUGAAUCAUCGAAUCUUUGAACGCACAUUGCGCCCGCUGGUAUUCCAGCGGGCAUGCCUGUUCGAGCGUCAUUUCAACCCUCAGGCCUCGCCUGGUGUUGGGGCACUACCUGUCAAAGGGUAGGCCCUGAAAUUUAGUGGCGGGCUCGCUAGAACUCUGAGCGUAGUAAUUCUACCUCGCUUUGGAAGGACUAGCGGUGCUUCUAGCCGUAAAACCCCCCCAUUUUUCUGAAAGUUGACCUCGGAUCAGG
rnacentral:rRNA from 1 species